AAAGUGCGAUAAGCAAUGCGAAUUGCAGAAUUCCGCGAAUCAUCAGAUCCUUGAACGCAACUGGCGCUAGGAGGCUCUCCUCCUAGCAUGUCUGUUUCAGUGUCUGAAAACAUCACAAUCUAACUUAAUGUGGUUGAUGACGAAAAGAGCAAGUUUAACUUCUCUUUCUCGAAAUCUCCCAUGAAAGAUGUACAUGUGGGUCUUUGGACCCCUCAUCGAAUUGGUCACUGUCUCCUCAGUGAUUUCGAUAGGGGAAAAAUAAAUCCAAUUACCUAAAUACAUGUAGAAAAUUUUAUUCUAACUUCAAACUCUGCAUCUGAAAUCAGGCAAGAACACCCGCUGAACUUAA
rnacentral:misc_RNA from 1 species